CACGUAGGGUGCGAGCGUUGUCCGGAUUUAUUGGGCGUAAAGAGCUCGUAGGCGGCUCACUAAGUCGGGUGUGAAACCUCCAGGCUCAACCUGGAGACGCCACCUGAUACUGGUGUGGCUAGAGUCCGGUAGGGGAGCGUUGAACUCCUGGUGUAGCGGUGAAAUGCGCAGAUAUCGGAAGGAACACCGGUGGCGAAAGCGGCGCGCUGGACCGCUUCUGACGCUGAGGCGCGAAAGCCAGGGGAGCAAACGGG
rnacentral:rRNA from 1 species